rnacentral:rRNA from 1 species
GAAACUGCCUGAUGGAGGGGGAUAACUACUGGAAACGGUAGCUAAUACCGCAUAACGUCGCAAGACCAAAGAGGGGGACCUUCGGGCCUCUUGCCAUCAGAUGUGCCCAGAUGGGAUUAGCUAGUAGGUGGGGUAACGGCUCACCUAGGCGACGAUCCCUAGCUGGUCUGAGAGGAUGACCAGCCACACUGGAACUGAGACACGGUCCAG